UUUAAAUGUUAAUAUUCAAAAGAAAAUACUUCCUAUUUUGUACAUUUUUCUUUUACAAUAAAAUGAACAUACCAGGAAGUUUAAUGAGGAACUACUUGGUUACUACCCUUUUCUGUUAACCAUUUUGGAUCAGGUUUUUAAAUAUAGGUAUCCAAACUUGAAAAUCUUCAUUAGAUUGCUACUGACAUGUUGAUUUCUUUUGAUAAUACUGUUGCAUUCUUUCCUUUCACUUACCCUCCAUAGCUGUGACUGCCUCACUGGAUGGAAAGGCGCAUUUUGCACAGAAACUGUGUCAGUGUGUGAACCUGAGCAUGAUCCUCCACAUCUGUGUCAGCAAGGCAGUACCUGUGUGCCACUGCCUAAUGGCUACACAUGCCACUGUCCUCUUGGAACAACUGGUACCUACUGUGAACAAGAUAUUUCCAUUAGUGAUGCAUCCUUCAGAAAUAAUGAAUCAUCAUGGAUGUCAUUUGCACCCUUUUAUGUCCGGCAUAAGACCCACAUUAAACUGCAGUUCCAGCCUCUCUCUCCAGAUGGUAUCCUGUUCUACACUGCACAGCACCUGGGCACUCAGUCAGGUAAGGGGAUUCCAGCCUGCUGCUAUCAUACAGCCAGGUACUUUUGUGAAAAAGAAAGGGACUACAUUGGGGUGAUUCAGGCAUUCAGUCUGGGUAACUCAUUGCCCAUGGAAUCAUAGAAUGUUAGGGGAUUGGAAGGGACCUCUAGUCCAAGUCUCCUGCCAUGGGCAAGGACACUUUCCACUAGAUCAGGUUGCUCAAGGCCUUAUCCAGCCUGGCUUUGAACAUUGCCAGGGAUGGGGCAUUCACUGCCUCCCUGGCAACCUCUUCCAGUGUCUCAUCAUCCUCACAGUAAAAUAUGUCUUCCUAAUAUCUAAAAUUUCCUCUCUUUCAGUUUGUACCCACUACUCAUUGUCCUGUAGUUCCCGACAAAGUCCCUCUCUGGCUUCCCUGUAGCCCCCUCCAGAUGCUGGAAGGUUGCUGUAAGGUCCCCAUACAGCCUUCUUUUCUCCAGGCUGAACAGCCCAAACUUUCUCAGCCUGUUAUUGUUGGGGAGGUUCUCCAGUCCUCUUAUCAACACUAUGGCCAUCCUCUGGACUAGCUCAAAUAAUUCCAUGUCCUCCUCAUGCUGGAGACACAGGAAUUGUAUUGUACAGUUGACUUGAACUGUAAAUAAUCAAGUUCAUAGGAAAAAAACAUGCAAAACCAAAAUUUUAGAUAGUCUAAAACCAGCAAAUACUUAAUGAACUUAUUUAAUGGUUUGGAAAAGCACUCCAGCUUUUUAGAAGCUACACUAAGAUUCUCACUUUGGGGAGCCAGCCCAGUGUUUUAAAUGACCAAAACCAAAGCAAUAUAAAAACUGAUCAAAUAAGUGAAAAUGAACAGAGUAAAUGAGGCUUCUCAGAAGUGUUGCUUUUUAUUAUAUGUUGAAAAGUGUGCCGGUGCAGCACAUAAAACAUGCAAGUUCUGCAUCUCCCAGAUAUGCAGAGUGACAAAUAAAUCUAAAUAAAAUAUUUAUAGAAGUAUUUUA
ensembl:lncRNA